rnacentral:tRNA from 1 species
AAUAAAAUGCCUGACUAAAGGAUUAUCAUGAUAUGAUAAAUAAAGUAUUUUAUACUUUUAUUA